rnacentral:rRNA from 1 species
AGGUUUGAUUAUGGCUCAGAUUGAACGCUGGCGGGAUGCUUUACACAUGCAAGUCGAACGGCAGCACGGACUUCGGUCUGGUGGCGAGUGGCGAACGGGUGAGUAAUGUAUCGGAACGAUGCCUAGUAGCGGGGGAUAACUACGCGAAAGCGUAGCUAAUACCGCAUACGCCCUUCGAAGGGGAAAGCGGGGGGACCUUCGGGCCUCGCACUAUUAGAGCGGCCGAUAUCGGAUUAGCUAGUUGGUGGGGUAACGGCUCACCAAGGCGACGAUCCGUAGCUGGUUUGAGAGGACGACCAGCCACACUGGGACUGAGACACGGCCCGAACUCCUGCAAGGAGGCAGCAGUGGGAAUUUUGGACAAUGGGGAAACCUGAUCCAGCCAUCCCGCGUGUGCGAUGAAGGCCUUCGGGUUGUAAAGCACUUUUGGCAGGAAAGAAACGGCACGGAUAAUACCCCGUGCAGCGGUACCUGCAGAAUAAGCACCGGCUAACUACGUGCCAGCAGCCGCGGUAAUACGUAGGGUGCAAGCGUUAAUCGGAAUUACUGGGCAUGCAAGCGUGCGCAGGCGGUUCGGAAAGAAAGAUGUGAAAUCCCAGAGCUUAACUUUGGAACUGCAUUUUUAACUACCGAGCUAGAGUGUGUCGGAGGAGGUGGAAUUCCGCGUGUAGCAGUGAAAUGCGUAGAUAUGCGGAGGAACACCGAUGGCGAAGGCAGCCUCCUGGGAUAACACUGACGCUCAUGCACGAAAGCGUGGGAGCAAACAGGAUUAGAUACCCUGGUAGUCCACGCCUAAACGAUGUCAACUAGCUGUUGGGGCCUUCGGGCCUUGGUAGCGCAGCUAACGCGCGUGAAGUUGACCGCCUGGGAAGUACGGUCGCAAGAUUAAAACUCAAAGGAAUUGACGGGGACCCGCACAAGCGGUGGAUGAUGUGGAUUAAUUCGAUGCAACGCGAAAAACCUUACCUACCCUUGACAUGUCUGGAAUCCCGAAGAGAUUUGGGAGUGCUCGCAAGAGAACCGGAACACAGGUGCUGCAUGGCUGUCGUCAGCUCGUGUCGUGAGAUGUUGGGUUAAGUCCCGCAACGAGCGCAACCCUUGUCAUUAGUUGCUACGAAAGGGCACUCUAAUGCAAGGACUGCCGGUGACAAACCGGAGGAAGGUGAGGAUGACGUCAAGUCCUCAUGGCCCUUAUGGGUAGGGCUUCACACGUCAUACAAUGGUCGGGACAGAGGGUCGCCAACCCGCGAGGGGGAGCCAAUCCCAGAAACCCGAUCGUAGUCCGGAUCGCAGUCUGCAACUCGACUGCGUGAAGUCGGAAUCGCUAGUAAUCGCGGAUCAGCAUGUCGCGGUGAAUACGUUCCCGGGUCUUGUACACACCGCCCGUCACACCAUGGGAGUGGGUUUUACCAGAAGUAGUUAGCCUAACCGUAAGGAGGGCGAUUACCACGGUAGGAUUCAUGACUGGGGUGAAGUCGUAACAAGGUAG